GUGGGGAAUAUUGGACAAUGGGCGAAAGCCUGAUCCAGCCAUGCCGCGUGUGUGAAGAAGGUCUUCGGAUUGUAAAGCACUUUAAGUUGGGAGGAAGGGCAGUAAGUUAAUACCUUGCUGUUUUGACGUUACCGACAGAAUAAGCACCGGCUAACUUCGUGCCAGCAGCCGCGGUAAUACGAAGGGUGCAAGCGUUAAUCGGAAUUACUGGGCGUAAAGCGCGCGUAGGUGGUUUUGUAAGUUGGAGGUGAAAUCCCCGGGCUCAACCUGGGAACUGGCCUCAAAACUGGAUUGCUAGGGUAAGGGAGAGGGUAGUGGAAUUUCCUGUGUAGCGGUGAAAUGCGUAGAUAUAGGAAGGAACACCAGUGGCGAAGGCGACUACCUGGACUGAUACUGACACUGAGGUGCGAAAGCGUGGGGAGCAAACAGGAUUAGAUACCCCGGUAGUCC
rnacentral:rRNA from 1 species